CGCGUUCCGCCCAAUGCGUCUUCAGGUUCGAACCUGAAAACGCAUUGGGCGAAACGCGUUGUUCGCUCCUAAAAAUAAAGAGAAAAAAGAACAGUAUCCAGUGUGCGGUGUUUAAUGAACUUUUCAUAUUUGAUCACGUUUUCCUGCCUAACACCUGCACCUGGAAAGCUGAAGGGUUGUGCACAAGGACUUUCAUGCACUUUGAUCUUUGAUAGAGUGUCUGCUGCUGCUGCUGCUGUAGUUUUUUGCCUAGUAAGGGCCUGGAGGAGGAGGUUGUUCUGCCUCACCAAGGCCUUCAACUCCUCCACAGCACGCAGGAGUGCAUGAUCCCGUUCUACAGGACAGAAAAACAUCAUGACUGUCAUGUCAAGACCCUUUGCUAAAAUUAACAGACUUAAGUUUAAACAGAUUUUCAGUAUUGCUGUGUAAGGCCAGAUGUUUGUGUACCGAAUUGACUUUGAAUGUUGCCA
ensembl:lncRNA